UACGUAGGGGGCAAGCGUUGUCCGGAAUCAUUGGGCGUAAAGAGCGUGUAGGCGGCUCGGUAAGUCCGCUGUGAAAGUCCAGGGCUCAACCCUGGAAUGCCGGUGGAAACUGUCGAGCUAGAGUCCGGAAGAGGCGAGUGGAAUUCCUGGUGUAGCGGUGAAAUGCGCAGAUAUCAAGUGGAACACCAGUGGCGAAGGCGAGUCCCUGGACGACUCCUGACACUGAGGCACGAAAGCUAGGGGAGCAAACAGG
rnacentral:rRNA from 1 species